GGCUAACUCCGCCAUCUCUAAAAAUGGAAUUCUCUCGAGUAGACUACAUGAAUGAUGACUCUGACUAUAAUUCUCCCUAUAUCUUCAAGGGAUCUUCCUCAGCAACUACAUCUCAGAGGCCCGGUAUUCACCGGCUUGCAGGAUAUGACUUUAAGGCUGAGGCUUAUCAGAAGGUAGAUGAAUUUCCUGCACACAUUAUAAGAGAAGGGGAUAAGAAGAUAAAAGAUGUGGUCAAGGAGCAUGUACUCCCUUUCCUUCCUGCUAAGUCGCUUAUGAAGUUUAAGGCCGUGUCUAAAGAUUGGGAUAAAUGG
rnacentral:misc_RNA from 1 species